AUUGAACGCUAGCGGGAUGCCUUACACAUGCAAGUCGAACGGAGUGGCGAACGGGUGAGUAAUGUAUCGGAACGUGCCCAGUAGCGGGGGAUAACUACGCGAAAGCGUAGAUAAUACCGCAUACUAUUGGCGCGGCCGCGACCGGAUUAGCUAUUUGGUGGGGUAACGGCACACAAAGGCGAAGAUCCGUAGCUGGUUUGAGAGGACGACCAGCCACACGGGGACUGAGAAACGGCCCAGACUCCUACGGGAGGCAGCAGUGGGGAAUUUUGGACAAUGGGUGAAACCCUGAGCCAGCUAUUCCGCGUGUGCGAUGAAGGCCGUCGGGUUGUAAAGCACUUUUGGCAGGGAAGCGGUACCGGCAGAAGAAGCACCGGCUAACUACGUGCGAACAGCCGCGGUAAUUC
rnacentral:rRNA from 1 species